GAUGAACGCUAGCGGCAUGCCUAACACAUGCAAGUCGAACGGCAGCAUGUUCGAAGAAGCCUUCGGGUGGAUUUGAAUGAUGGCGAGUGGCGAACGGGUGAGUAACGCGUGGGAAUCUACCCUAAAGUGGGGGACAACCCGAGGAAACUCGGGCUAAUACCGCAUAUGGUCUCCGGACUAAAGAGUGCCUCUGCAUAUGCACUUGCUUUAGGAUGAGCCUGCGUCCGAUUAGCUUGUUGGUGGGGUAAAGGCCUACCAAGGCGACGAUCGGUAGCUGUUCUGAGAGGAAGAUCAGCCACACUGGGACUGAGACACGGCCCAGACUCCUACGGGAGGCAGCAGUGGGGAAUAUUGGACAAUGGGGGCAACCCUGAUCCAGCAAUGCCGCGUGUGUGAAGAAGGCCUGCGGGUUGUAAAGCACUUUCAGUUGUGAGGAAGGGUGAGUAUUAAUAGUGCUCAUCAUUUGACGUUUAACAACAGAA
rnacentral:rRNA from 1 species